GUCAGAGAAGACUCUCAAGGAGGAGACACCAGCUGGGUAGCCUCAAGCAAGAGCAUCUCAGGCAGACACAUGACAGCAAGUUUGGAGGCAGCCUGGUGAGCAGCCAAGAGCAGCAGUGGUUACGCCUAGGGAAGAGCAUGAGUUAGAACAUCAGCAUUACUUCUUUCCAGCCAUGGGAGCUUGGGCUGAAUUAACAGUCAAAAUGAAGCAGGAUAAUUGGAGACGGAGCCAUGCAGCCGAUCAUGCCAUCCUUGGAAUUAUUGGGCACACCAUCAUCUCUUGCUUGGAUUCAGGAUCUUGGCAUUGCAUUCUUACAGAAAAGCCUCUUUGCAGUCAACAUCCACAGAAAAGAAAUAGAAGCAAUUGAUCUGCAAGGACCUGCCUUUGAAAUAUUGACACAUUGAGGAAGGCUGACACAUGAUGAGAAGAGUCAGUGGUCCUGAGGUACAGUACUUAAGAUAACCCUGUGAAGGCUGAGAUUGAUAUUUGAAAUUCACAACUGAUCUUGGAGCCUGGUACAGCAGUCAUGGAGCCAUAUUGGAUUGUGAAAGGAACUCAGUUGACCUGGCCUAUUGCAGAUUUAUUCUGAGAAUUUCAAUUCAGUCUUUGCUGCUGUUUGGAAAUCUUUCAUGAAUCUUUUAAUAACUUCCUUACAUACAUCUUGUUCCAUUAAAGCCCCAAAUUUGGCUUUGUCAGCUCUCUUUCUUCAUAAUCUUUAGGAUUUGUUCAUGUGUGGAUGUGAUGGAACUGAAGUCGCUAGGUUCAUGCUACCUGGAACAUGAGACUGACAAAUAGAGGAGCACUGAGUCAAAUGAAUCUCGGAGAAAUGGAGCUGGAAGAAAACUGGAGUAAGCCUGUCCCUGAAAGGGCACUACAUUUGGAUAUCCAGCAGUGGGACUCAAUAUUUUUUCUUGUUGUUUAAUCUCAUUUCUGUUACUUGCAGCCAAAGGCUCUUAAUGAGAAAAUGGCUCUACCUAGUUUUCUGAAAUUGCCUCAGUCUCUCCACUCUUCCCUAUUACAAAGGUCAUCUCUUUAAUUCACAUCCAAUAACUGAUAGUCUCUUGACUAAUCUACAUCCUCUCAUUCUCUCCUAAUUCACCUUUCAUACUGUUGCCAGGUGACUUUUCCUAAAAGACAACUUUCAUGAUGUCACUCUACUUCAUAAAUUCUUAUAAUGGUUUCUUUUUGCUUUUAGUCCAAACUCCUCAGGUUCGUUUUCAAGGCUUUUCAUAAUUGAAUUUCUUUUAUAUACCUAAGAUGAUUUCUCUGUGUUCCCAAAUGUACAAUUGACAGUCCUUCCUCCUGAUGUUCUCUCCAGUAGGAAAUGUUUGCUCUAUGUAAAUUCAGUAUAGCUUUUAGUCUCUAUUCAAGUUCUACCUUCUUCAUAAACUUCUCCUGAAUAGAAUCAGCCUAUAACCAUUUAAACUGUCUUUAUUAGGUGCACACUAUGUGCCAGGUACUCAACAAGGCAGUGGAACUAUGAAGACAGAUAAUCACAGUCCCUCUUGCCUCUGGGAGCAGGCAGUUGAAUGCAAUGCUUUUUAAAGUUUUAAGUAACGUGGUCAUGCAAAAUCUUAUAGAUAUACAUUUGAAUGUACAGAGUUUAAUUACCAAGCUAGUGAG
rnacentral:lncRNA from 1 species